UGUGCACUCCUCGGAUGACUCGUGUGGGGGGAUCAAGGGGUCCACGGGGUACAUACGUAGUGUCUCAUUGAUAAUUCCGUGGAGAUAAGGAAGUCGAGGGAGGUCAGAAUCCUCGAUUAGCCUUGAAUUUCCUAUGUAAUUGUCGAUUUCAUUUUGAGCCUUCAUUAGUGCCUCAGGGUUGUUCAGACGAAGUGACAAUGCCCAUUCCAUUGUUGAUACUGAAGUGUCUGUCCCAGCAGAUAACAUCACCUACAUAUAAACAAAUCUUUUAGCAAUUUUAUUACUUACCCAAAUUGAUAAUCUAUUAUAGAAAUGUUCUGUCACUAUCAAACUAAGAUGCUGAUGUAAUUAGUUUCAAUAAAUAAGUAGGCAUAUGACUGUCACAUUUUCUCAGCAUUCUUGAUUAUUUUAGAAAUAAUACAAGGAAAACAAAUGAUUCAUGUCAAUUUUUCAUUUCUGUUUGCGAAGAAAUACAAGAAACAUCAUGUUAGGACUUAGCAGAAGAUAAUGCUGAGAGAAUCAGAGGCCACACUUAAGAGGGGUAAAAUGAGUUGCCUUGUCUGAGCGAGGCCAUGCCAUGUGCUUGGCAAGGAGCUAUCCAGAACAGGGACAUCUCAACUCAGUUUACACCUCUACGCAAACUUUCUCCAGACUAUAGUGAGUGAUAAACAAGGUUACGAUUCCCAAAAAUUUACCUGCAUCAUGCCUCUGAUAAUUUCAUCGUUAUAACAUUCAGGUUCAGUCUCUUGGAGGGACAAGAGAAUAUCAAUCAGAGUCUUCUCCUUCUGCUUAUAAGUUGUUGUACUCCUUCUGUGUUCAUCAAUUAAGUCUUGCAUGAAUCUGUCUCUCUUCUCCUUCAAUAUCUUCAACCUAUUUUCAAUUUUAUCCAUUCCUAUCCACCUCAAAAGUGGAAUGAAAUCUCCAAUAUUUGUUGCACACUCAAUUGAAAAGUCUCAGUCACAAUCUCCUUAAACUUUAUUGCUUCUUCCAAAUUCCCAGAAUCAUCACGAUCAUCAUCAUCAUUGUAAUAUCGCUUUCCAGCAAUCAUUCUCAUCAUGAUAUUCAGUAACAUCACAAAGAAUGUCGAUUUCAUAUCCACCGUCUGAUAUUCUGCCCCUUGGGUACCUCUGAUGAGUCUUUUUACCAGUAAAUGAACCUCACUUCUACGUAUAUCAGAAAACAUUUGGAUCCGAUAUGUAGACAAAAUUUCAAGGGAAGCUAUCCGUCUUAGGUUGCGCCAAUGAUCACCAUACGAGGCCCAAACAAGGGUGGUGUAGUUGUAACCGAGGUGCUUUCCAGCAAGCAAUCUAGGACGGUUAGCGAAUAUGAUGUCGUUUUUGGUGAGGCAUUCCUCUGCAGCAGAGGGAGAGGAUAUGAGGAGGACGGGGCGAGAACCGAAUUGAAGGAAGAGGAUUGGACCAUACUUGUUUGAAAUCUUGGCCAAGGUUCUAUGGAGUGGUUUCUUGAAGAUAUACAAAUGGCCUAUUACUGGUAAGGAGAGAAGAGGACCUGGUGGAUAAUUUUGUAACUUUUUGAGAAAAUGAUUUGUGAGAAAAUAGAGGAAAGGGAAGAUGAUGAAGUAGAAUAUGGUUUCCAUUGAGAGAUCAAUUGAACAGAUAAAAGGGUUAACUGUUUUAUAUCAGAGAAUUGUUAAACACAGUCUCACAGUUUGUAAAGACUACGUACAUGUCACAUCUUUAAUGAAAAAAUGAAUCCAUCGCGUACGAGACAUGUCUUGACUAGUAAUAAGAACUUCACGAGAUGAUAACGUUUCCUAGUUCCAAUGCUGGCACUGGCAGAAUAAUUAAAAGAAUACUUAUUUAUAUAUGGUCCCUGCUAAAAUUGAUGCUACAUUUUUAUUUGUUUAUUUGACAGUUCACUAUCAAAAUUGGCAAUUUUGUAUAUGGAUGGACACAAAUGAAGAUUUCUGAUUAGCAUCUAUGCAUAGAAAUGAUAUAUACACAACAAAUAUAAUAUCAAGUAAUAUUGGUUUGUAGUUUUCAGCAAGUAUAAAAUGGUGUUGGAUCCAUGACGGCAAGGAGUUUAUCAGGUUGUGUUAGUUUUUUAGCCAAAAAUUUUUUUUUAUAAAUAUUUGGUAACACUUAUUAUUAUCUAAGUAAGUAGUUUUAAAAUGCGAUUAGCCAAAUAUCAUCCAGACUACACUUAAUUGACUGGGAAUGCUACACCAGUCAAUCCCUCCUAAGUACAUCAUAUAGACUAGUCUUUAAUUGAGAUAAUCCAAAAAGGUUUAGGGCCUGCUUGGAAGUACCGAUUUUGGGCAUUUAUGAUUAGUUUAGUAUUGGGUGGUUUUAAUAACAGUUUUUAAAUUGGUCCAAUUCAAUUUUUUUAUGAUCGCGGUUGUUCGGGCCAGUUUACGCGCACCUCGACUAAUCCCACGUGGCGUUGAAGUUUACAGUUGGAUAUUCACCUCAGUGGCCUUGAGGGGACUAGAACUGGUAACCAUUGGAGAGCAAACCCAAGACCUGAUAACUGAACUACCCCUCAUGGUUAAAUCUGUCCAAUUCAUACUUGGGAGCUGUUGAACAAAUUUGUACUUCUCUUUCGAUCAUGAAGGUUUUCAUUGAUAUGUAACAGGCCAAGGACAACGAUCUCACUACAGAUUGAAAUGGCCAUAAUAACUUUUAUCCGAAGAUAGUUAAUUAAAUUAAAUUAGUCAACAAUCACAUUGGCAAUGCCAGAUCAAGUCACAAUUGAUGGAAUUGAUCACGCAACGAAGUGUGACAAUACCGUUAAAGCCGAGAUGUAAGAAUAUGAAUUUUAUUCCUUUUCCUGACCUAUUUAACUUCCUGCUUCUCAAUUAUAUUUUAAAUCCCAUACUAAAUUAUGGAAAAACUUUGCUCCUAUUUCAGUUCCAACUCAGUUUCAGAGAGCACAUGCAGGCUUUUUGACAAACACUUGAACUGCACACAAAAAAUACAAAUACAUCCCAUAUAUAUAGAUUGAGUUAACCCAUAAAGAGGAGGCCAAUGUUAGACUGUUAUUACUCCCUUUUUUCAUUGCAAUUAAUACAUUAUAGACUUCCACGGAAGCUAUAAGAACUUUCAGAUUGCUCAAUAGAAACUACACAAUUCCAAUUUACUCACAGAAGGAGACACAGGGGGAAAUAAAGUACUCUAUUAACAGAAUCUGUACCUUAAAUUGACACGAAAUUGGAGAAAUAUUGAAGACGAGGAUGGACGUUGAACAACCGAGAAAGGUUGAAGAACAAAGAACAUAUGAUAACGUUUGGAAGGGAUGAUUUAUUAGUAAAGGAAUCCUUUUCCUUUUGUCCAAGUUAGGAUAGAUUUGGAAAUAACUCUUUUAUAGUGGAUAAAAUUGAAAAGAAACUGAAAAACUGUAAACCAUCGAUUUGGUGGGUCGAGAAAUGCAAAUUACAUUACACUUGUUUUCUCAACCUCUUAUAAACGGCGUCAGUAAAAAAUAGUUAAAAUCCAUGCUUGAAAGCAGAGAAAGUCAAUAACGUACGGUUACGAAAAUAUAUAUUUUUACAUCAUUUUGGGAAAUAUUUUCUAAGGAAUAAUCAGUUUUCUGACCAUCUUAACUAAUCUUCUACAUAUUGGACACAACUUGUUCACCUCAACCUUGAUCCUGCAAAAGAGCCCUUUAGUAUUAGGAAAAGCCAUGAGUACAGGGAAUUCUCGACAGAAUUUUUACUGACACUGACAUGGUCGCAAGUGAUUGGAUUGUUUUUUCUCUUUUCAUCUUUCAAUCAAUUCCUACAUGUGUUAUUUGUCAAAAUUUUCUGUACUUGUAACGUGAUUGUUAGUAUUAUUUUUAGAUAAAACCCUCUGUCCCGGCUUGGGGACAGGGUUGAAGAUAGGGGCGCCAUAUAUAUUGGAGGUUGACAUGCGCCCCUCCAAUGGAGGGCGUCAGUUCCCAAGCCGGGACAUGAAGUAGGGUUCAUUAUUUUUCUCACUUUUGUUCAAAAGAGAGAGAAACUUUUGCACCAUAUUUAUACCUUGACUAUGACAAGUGACACAGUGACCACAAGGAAAAAAAGGCAAUUUCUUGGCUCGUCAAAGCAGAUUACACAAAUUUUGACAUCAUGUAAAUCUCUAGAAGAACUAGAUGUACCAGAUUCCAUGUCUUCUUCGUUUGUUCCAUAUGGCAAUUUAACCACUUUUUCUGUCAUCAAAGGAUCGGUCUCAGUGCUUUCUAUUGUUACUGAUUACUCCAUUUCAACAUUAGUUUCACCAUUACAUUCUCCUAGAUAUUUGAAAAUUAAAAACACGAUUAUACCAAGAAAUCCUGACAAACGCGAACGUAAAUGUUAGGCUUCAUAUAUACAUGUUGUAAUCAACAAUCGAAGAUAUUUUUAUAGCAGUUUUUUUUGAAGUUUUACCUAAAAUUGAUGCAUAGAUAACAACAUGAACCAGGAAUGCAAGCUCAGUCUACCAUGCGACGAGAUUUCCCUAUGAUCAAAUUUAAAUUAGCUAGACUCUUCCAGAAAAGUGGUUUGACUUUCUCAAGUUUGAAGAACAGAAGACGCCACACUCUGUUUUGUUCUAUGGACACUUCAACUAGGAUAGUGUGUCCAUGUCAAAUACUUACUCUGUUUGAACACUCUACCAUGAUCAUCUUUUUAAUUAGAAAUAUUAUAUGCUUUUAACUUGAAAUUAUUAGUAGAUAACAAAUAUGUAUUCAUCUUUAGAAGAUUUCAACAAGAAAAGUUCAUAACAAGUAUAAUACUAAAUUUGAACCAUAUAAAUAAAUUUUUUUAAAGAAUUUAAUCAACGUGUGGACGAAUUUUUUCGCGUGAAUCCAAGACAGUCGCUCAGGCUAAACUUUAAGCCUUGGUAUUUGUUCUUCAUGGUUGGGCAGUCGCCCAGUUAUAUUAACUUUCAAAUAUUGCGUUUUAUUCCCCAAAUUUCAUUCUCUCGAUUCUUAACCUCUUUUUUCAUUUCUUCUUCUUUCAAUACUCCAUGUCUUCUAUAAAUUGGCCUUCGAAUCUUUCACAUUUUCAUUUUGUCUUUCAUGUCAGCUUUUGGCUAUUUGCACUUUGGUCCUUGAACUCUUAUUUUCUUCCACUUGGUCAUUUUCUAUUUGUUUUUCCUAGAUUCCUCCACGUUCAUCAAUGUCGUCCUACAAAAUAUAAUUUACAUAGAACUAAGCCAUACUUCAAUAUAUUUAUCAACAAUUAUUCAUAUUUUGUAAUCAAAAUAAGUGUGUAAAGCGCACUUAUCAUGUCCGAAAUGCAAAAGGUUUCAUGAUUCCAUGGAGUUGCUUUAUUUUGAAGAGUUUCCUUGUAGAGUGGCUUAAAUAUUGUUGUCAUUUAUGUGGUAUUUAUGGAAGUACAGCUUAAAGACAGUCACCUAUCUUUUCUCAUAGAUUGUUUGAAAGAUUGUCGGCUCUGAACAAUUGGUUCCAUAAUACAUUUAUAGGUUUUGUAUGCAUACUAAAAUUUUAGUGGGGUCUAACUAAUGAAGUUCGCAUGAGGUCUCGAAAAUCAUAGGACCAACAUAGAUCUUUGCUAUUAUUUUUUUACUUUCACAUUUUUUUUUUGGCUCUUUCUUAUCUUCCCUUAAAUUUUCAUUUAAAUUAAAAAUGGAGUCGCAUGAAUUUUCUAUGACAAUAUGAUAAGAACCAAGCUUGUUGUACAGAAACCUAUUUCAUAGAAUUGUUACAAAACUCUCACAACAGGGGGUUGGAUGAUUUAUUUGGCAAUUUUUUAUCACCACAUGGGGCCCUCCCAUGUGAGUUGUCCAGUUGAAUCCUAUGAAAUGAUUUUCUGUAGAAAGAGCUUUACAGAUAUGAUAAAGCAACUAUUCAUUAGGCUCCUAGGUGCUAUAUCAAUAUAAAAUUUGAAAGUUUCAAAUGUCAAGAAAAAAAGUUUAAAAACCUCAUCUGAAAAUUUUCAAAUUAUUUAUAAUAUAAUCAUUUUCUUUGAAAAAAAAUUAGAAAUCAGAUAAAAUUAAAAAGCUCCAAACUCGAGUUCAAAUCAAACCAAAUACAGCUCAAGCUCAAGCUCAAGUUCAAGUUCAAGUUCAAGUUCAAGUUCAAGCUAAUCACAUCGCUCAAAUUAAUAUCUCAACAAGCCACCUCAAGUUCAACUUGUUCUAUGAACUACAUUAUUAACAGAUGUAAGUGUUAUGCCCUAAGUUCAAUCAAUCGUAGAAAAAAAUACUUUUGAUAUAUAAUUAAUGCGAUUUAAUGAUAGAUAUAUUAUUUAAUUAAUAGACAAUUAAAUUAAAUAAUAGAGUCCGUAGAUUCAAAUCUUCGUAAUUUGUUAAUCACAAGGAGUUGUGAUUGUGAGAUACAAAUUGAAUCUUAAAUCAUUCAUGGUCAUAAAUAUUAACAAGAUACGGAUAUCGUUAUUACAGAUAGACUAUCACGUCUGACAUUUCUUACUUGUGAAGUAAGUAGCUGAUCUCACAAGUUAAAGUGUGGUGACACUUGAACGAACACGUUGAUGUUUUGCUGUAGAACAAAACGUUGGAGAUCCGCCUAGAGAUUCCACAUGGAUAACUAUCUGAGUAUCAGUGGUUAAUCUCUAACGUUCGGUAGUGGGAUUGGUCCUUUGACUUGAAGUCAUCAUAGUAUCUUAUAUAAGGACAGUCAUACUUUGACGGUGUUGGAUGUUGCUUUACCAAGAGCCGCUAAUACGAUAUUGUUCGGGUAUGUCAAGAAUCGUAUGAAGGUUGUGAAUGACCAAUAAAUGAUUCGUCACUCUUAAAUAGUAAGAUAUUAUGAUCUGCAUUUCAUUCAAUUAAGUCGAUAACGAAAUCCUUGGUUAAUGUGUAAUUAGAAGUCGAAAAUGAGUUUUCGACUUAUAUUGACUUAAUAGUGGAGUAAAAGAUAUGAUCGAUAAUCGAAAUUGACACACUUCCAUAUCUUGUAAUUGAUCGGAUCAUAUUGACGAAGGGAUUAUAAUUUCAUGGUAAACAAACGAGUUGGAUUUUGUCAUACCACGUGAUAUUUCCCGUCUCAUAUAUUGCCUUGACACAUUGUUAGAUGUCAAUCUGAGACGAUAAGUGUGAAUUGGUGAUAAACUAAAAGAACAUUUUAAUUUAUCAAUUUUGACUAGAUCAAAAUAAUAUUUCACGUCAUUAGAUAUCGUGAUCGAGAACCUGAUUGAUUGUACACAAAUGAUAAUUGGAAGAUUGUAAUUUGUCAAUUAAUUAAUUUAACAAUCGUUUGAUAAAUUAAUUAAUUGAGUUGAUUAUUUAUAUGAUUGAAUUAAUUAAUUCACGGACCGAAUUUAAUUAAAUGAGUUAAUUAAAUAUUGGAUUGGGUCAAACCAAGCCAGUUCGAGUUUAUAUAAAUAUGACUAGAGUUUUUAAAAUUUGAAGAGAAUUUAUUCUUGUUAGCACAGGAAAGAAAACCUCAAUCUUACAAUCUUAUUCUCUGUGUGGAUCACUGUUGGAGGCUGGAUAGUUGUGGAUGGUGAAUCAAGAUCGUUAGAACAAAGAAAAAGCAAAGAGGUUUGCAGAGUUAGAAAAAUAUAUGACUUUUAUCACAAUUUCUAUCUAAACAUAAAGACGAUUCUUGGUAGGAAUUGAAAUUUGUUUUUAUUUUCUGCUACGCAUGUGAAGUAAAUUCCCAACGACAGAUACAUUAGGCCACUCAAUUUUAGUUACUGUACUCAUUCAUAAUCAACGAAGAAUUGUAAAGUAAAGACUAUCCUAAGUUAAACCAUGCCAUCAUCAAUCAACUAAAGACAUCUUUGUCUCUUUCUUGAGCUUGGAUUGAUUUUUGGUGGGGUAUAUUAAAUAAUAUUAAUAUUUAAUACAUAAAAUGAAAUUAAAAUUUAAUCAUUGUAUGUACUUAGUGACUAAUCCAAUUAAGCAACGUAUAUAUUUGUCUUUAUCUAUUCCAUUUUGGUUCCCUUUCUCUUUGAGAUGGCAUCACACAUCAUUUGCACACUUCGGACGGCUCUUUUGGCUAAAUGCAGAAAGUAAUUCAACUGUUCGACACCUUCUAUUUUUCUAUUACUAAGAACAUAAUCACCUCGACAAUUGUAUGAUCUUUGUUGACAUUUGACUUUAAAUUCGUGUUUUCUUAAAACGUGAUUUCUGUCUCACGUAAGUGAAAUGAUUGCCUUACACGUGGUUAAAUGGUGGGCAUUGGAUGGAGGGUUAAUUGUUGUCUCUCUUAUAAAAAGAUUGAUCUUUACUUAGUGUAAGUGAGAAUGAGUUUGUGUGCACUGUGGCGAACAAAUUGUAAAUCUGUGAGGGGGAUAGAAAUUCGAAUAAAUCAAAAGCAUUAGUAUCGAACAUUCCUGGCUUGAUCUCUUGUAUCAGGAGUGUAAUCUAACUUGUAGAUGCUCAAGGAUGACUAAAAUUUUAUUACAAGAAUAUUUGGUUCAUUUGAGCUCUUGUAGUGGUUAGAUGUUAAACCGUAUCUCACAAUGGGAAAAGAAAAUGUGCAAAAUAUGCAUUUAAUGUGGGCCACGCCUACAAACACGCUAAUAAUCAAACCCUUUUUUGUAUGCUAGAAGGCAUUUCGACGAAAUUAAAGAAAAGACAACAUUGUCAGACAAUACUUGAUCAAAUUUGAGAGAGCAAUCUCAGCAUUCCUUGGCGUGGCCUACAUUUGGCCAAGAGUGGCUUAGCCUUGGGCAUUGUAAGCCCCGGACCUUCACUCAUAUCCACCAACUCAUCACCCUCUCUAGCCCACUCAAAGCACUGAAUCAACGACCCCACCACUAGGCCAACGACGUGCAUUGCCAAAUUCUCACCGGGACACCCCCUCCUUCCAUACCCGAAUGGCAUCAGCACGAAUCCAUCACGUUGGCCGGGUAAAUUAAGAAACCUUUUGGGUUUAAAUUUUCUUGGCUCCUCCCACAAGUUGGGAUCAUUUUGUAUAGCCCAUAAGUUCACUAACAGCAUUGUACCUCGAGGGACUCUAAAUCCCCCUACUGUGCAUUCCUCGGAUGACUCGUGUGGGGGGAUCAAGGGGUCCACGGGGUACAUACGUAGUGUCUCAUUGAUAAUUCCGUGGAGAUAAGGAAGUCGAGGGAGGUCAGAAUCCUCGAUUAGCCUCAAAUUUCCUAGGUAAUUGUCGAUUUCAUUUUGAGCCUUCAUUAGUGCCUCAGGGUUGUUCAGAAGAAGUGACAAUGCCCAUUCCAUUGUUGCUACUGAAGUGUCUGUCCCAGCAGAUAACAUCACCU
rnacentral:lncRNA from 1 species